CAUAUGAGGCAACCGACCUCCUCAUGUUUUUUCCAGAAGUCUCCAUCUUGAGGCAAUAUAGAGAACGAUCUCUAUCAAAAUCGAAAUUUUCAGUUCUAUCCAUAGAAACCGACAUCAGUCCUUGCACUGUUUGACAUCCUUCAUCAACGGCAAUCUCCAUAGUGACUGGUUGUGUUAGUAUUGCAAUCAGAAGCCUCUAUCGACAUCGAUCUAGAAGUCUCUACCUACACCGACAGAAUCCUCUACCCAUACCGUCUCUCCAGCCGCUUCUCUGUUCGUCCUUCUUGCUCUCGGACUCGCCACCAUUACAACCGACCUCGGCGGGGGAAUUGAAAUCAAGAACAGUAAGAAUUGGGCAAACCUCUAUGGAGAUGGCAGCUGAGAAUGCCAAGAGAGGGAUAGACUAUAAAGAGGUUCUCGGAACAAUCCACAGGUGACCGGGUUGAACAAGGAGAAUCUAAAUGUAUUCGUGUCAAAUCAAAGAGAUUGAAAACAAUGUUUCAUCCAGAAAUUGCUGGAGGAUCUAAUGAAUGUCAGAAUGAAAUGCAAUCAGGAGAUGGUAAUCAAAAUGUCACUCAAGGUGUUCCCAGUGUGUUGCGCCGGGUGGUUCCGAUACUUCUAUGUGUUUACUCCAGAGAAGGAGAACCUGCUUCUUUGAUCCGCACAAAAAGAAGAGUGAGAGGGGUAGAGAGAAAGAGUGAUAGAACAAUUGUACCCACCAAGAGGAAGAAAGAAGAAGAAUGAACUGUGUUCAAGGAGAUUCAAAGUUGUAUGAUCGAGCUCACCGCUAAACUGAAGCAGGUUUUCUUUUACCCACUUUUCAGAGUCCAAUGGCUGCUAACAACGUUCUAAUGGGUUUGGAUAAGGAACAGCUAGCUUCUACAAUUAUUUGGGUUAAUCCUUUCUUCUCAAUCUACUGUGGAAUGAGGGGUUGAUAAGAAAUCAAGCAGUGUUGCUUCGGAGCCAAACUCAAAGAGUUUUGAGUGUGUGACCAAGGGCUUCAAAUGACCGUUCUGAUGAUGAAGGAGGGACUGACAAGAGGAAUGGUGUUAAGGCAAGGAACAAGUACCGUCCCCCGAUGUUGCUGAAGGACAUCAAUUUAAAAAUGCUUCUUUGCUGGCAGACUUGGCUGGUGCAAGGGUUAUUACUGUUAGAUGAUCUUGAUUCGACAACCCUUGGAAAUGCAAUUGAAGAGAUGUUAGGGGAUGAGAGUAAAAUGGAAGAUAUGUUCUAGAGGGGCUCUGAGAGCUGCAAACUCCAAUACCUCUGUACAGAUUGCACAACACGUCAUUUCUCUAACCCGCUUAUAAUGAGGAAAGAAGUAGACUUAAAGUUGGUUUAUACGCUAUGUAAGUCAUAGAUCCAGCUUCCAUCUUUUUGGAGCCUGAGGACUAUCGCGAGUGGGUAGAGUGAAGGUACCUCCAAGUGGAAGGACACUGCAAUCAGAGACCAAGCUUCAGUGCUAUGAACCUGUAACGAUAAAAUACUUGGGAUAUUAUCCUGCAUUGACACCUGAUGUGGUUGGUUUUUUCUUUUUUUGUGUACAUUUGGCUUGGGGUUGUGGAUUGGUGUAGUGAACAUGUAGUAAGCUGUUAUGGAGUCAUUGCUAACUUCUAAAUGGAUGGGUUCAUUUGAUAAUGAUGUUAAGGUCAAGGAGGGGGUAGCACGAGAAAGCAAGGCACAGAAAACAUGGGCAAAGAGUAGCUUCAAGCAAAGAAACCUGUUUCUUCGGAUUAUUCUCAAGUAUAUAAUAGAACACCAAGACCUUAUAUGUGAGAGUUCAAUUAGAAAUAAAUCAAUUAAUAAUUGUUAUACGA